UACGUAGGUGGCGAGCGUUGUCCGGAUUUACUGGGCGUAAAGAGCGCGCAGGCGGUCGUUCAAGUCGCGUGUGAAAGCCCCCGGCUCAACUGGGGAGGGUCACGCGAUACUGUUCGACUCGAAGGCAGGAGAGGGUAGUGGAAUUCCCGGUGUAGUGGUGAAAUGCGUAGAUAUCGGGAGGAACACCAGUGGCGAAGGCGACUACCUGGCCUGUUCUUGACGCUGAGGCGCGAAAGCUAGGGUAGCAAACGGG
rnacentral:rRNA from 1 species